rnacentral:rRNA from 1 species
GUGUCAGCCGCCGCGGUAAAACGUAGGUCACAAGCGUUGUCCGGAAUUACUGGGUGUAAAGGGAGCGCAGGCGGGGAGAUAAGUUGGGAGUGAAAACUAUGGGCUCAACCCAUAAAUUGCUUUCAAAACUAUCUUUCUUGAGUAGUGCAGAGGUAGGCGGAAUUCCCGGUGUAGCGGUGGAAUGCGUAGAUAUCGGGAGGAACACCAGUGGCGAAGGCGGCCUACUGGGCACCAACUGACGCUGAGGCUCGAAAGUAUGGGUAGCAAACAGGAUUAGAUACCCUGGUAGUCCAUACCGUAAACGAUGAUUACUAGGUGUUGGGGGAUUGACCCCCUCAGUGCCGCAGUUAACACAAUAAGUAAUCCACCUGGGGAGUACGACCGCAAGGUUGAAACUCAAAGGAAUUGACGGGG